UACGUAGGUGGCAAGCGUUGUCAGGAUUUACUGGGCGUAAAGAGCGCGCAGGCGGUCGUUCAAGUCGCGUGUGAAAGCCCCCGGCUCAACUGGGGAGGGUCACGCGAUACUGAUCGACUCGAAGGCAGGAGAGGGUAGUGGAAUUCCCGGUGUAGUGGUGAAAUGCGUAGAUAUCGGGAGGAACACCAGUGGCGAAGGCGACUACCUGGCCUGUUCUUGACGCUGAGGCGCGAAAGCGAGGGGAGCAAACGGG
rnacentral:rRNA from 1 species